rnacentral:rRNA from 1 species
GAUGAACGCUGGCGGCGUGCUUAACACAUGCAAGUCGAGCGAAGCGAUUUUAAGGAAGUUUUCGGAUGGAAUUAAAAUUGACUUAGCGGCGGACGGGUGAGUAACGCGUGGGUACCUGCCUCAUACAGGGGGAUAACAGUUAGAAAUGACUGCUAAUACCGCAUAAGCGCACAGUGCCACAUGGCACAGCGUGAAAAACUCCGGUGGUAUGAGAUGGACCCGCGUCUGAUUAGGUAGUUGGUGAGGUAAUGGCUCACCAAGCCGACGAUCAGUAGCCGACCUGAGAGGGUGACCGGCCACAUUGGGACUGAGACACGGCCCAAACUCCUACGGGAGGCAGCAGUGGGGAAUAUUGGACAAUGGGGGAAACCCUGAUCCAGCGACGCCGCGUGAGUGAAGAAGUGUUUCGGCAUGUAAAGCUCUAUCAGCAGGGAAGAAAAUGACGGUACCUGACUAAGAAGCCCCGGCUAACUACGUGCCAGCCGCCGCGGUAA